rnacentral:rRNA from 1 species
GACGAACGCUGGCGGCGUGCUUAACACAUGCAAGUCGAACGAAAUGGCGAACGGGUGAGUAACGCGUAAUCAACCUGCCCUUCAGCGGGGGACAACAGUUGGACACGACUGCUCAUACCGCAUACUGAAGGAGGGGCUUGCGUCUGAUUUGCUAGUUGUGGGGGUAACGGACCACCAAGGCGAUGAUCAUACACCGGUCGGGGAGGAUGGACGGCCAAAUUGGGGAUGAGACACGGGCCAGACUUCGUCAGGAGGCAGCAGGGGGGAAGCUUCCGGAAUGGACGAAAGUCUGACGGAGGAAAGGCGCGGGGGUGAUGACGGCCUUCGGGUUGGAAAGCUCUGUUAAUCGGGACGCGGUACCGGAAUAGAAAGCCACGGCUAACUACGUGCCAGCAGCCGCGGUAAUUC